AGGGUGUCUUCUAGUUGCUGCAGUCGAGCGGAGCGACAAUAACAAUCCUUCGGGUGCGUUAAUGGGCGUCGAGCGGCGGACGGGUGAGUAAUGCCUAGGAAAUUGCCUUGAUGUGGGGGAUAACCAUUGGAAACGAUGGCUAAUACCGCAUAAUGCCUACGGGCCAAAGAGGGGGACCUUCGGGCCUCUCGCGUCAAGAUAUGCCUAGGUGGGAUUAGCUAGUUGGUGAGGUAAUGGCUCACCAAGGCGACGAUCCCUAGCUGGUCUGAGAGGAUGAUCAGCCACACUGGAACUGAGACACGGUCCAGACUCCUACGGGAGGCAGCAGUGGGGAAUAUUGCACAAUGGGCGAAAGCCUGAUGCAGCCAUGCCGCGUGUAUGAAGAAGGCCUUCGGGUUGUAAAGUACUUUCAGUUGUGAGGAAGGGGGUAGCGUUAAUAGCGCUAUCUCUUGACGUUAGCAACAGAAGAAGCACCGGCUAACUCCGUGCCAGCAGCCGCGGUAAUACGGAGGGUGCGAGCGUUAAUCGGAAUUACUGGGCGUAAAGCGCAUGCAGGUGGUUCAUUAAGUCAGAUGUGAAAGCCCGGGGCUCAACCUCGGAACUGCAUUUGAAACUGGUGAACUAGAGUACUGUAGAGGGGGGUAGAAUUUCAGGUGUAG
rnacentral:rRNA from 1 species